rnacentral:rRNA from 1 species
UACCAGACUCCUACGGGAGGCAGCAGUGAGGAAUAUUGGUCAAUGGGCGGGAGCCUGAACCAGCCAUGCCGCGUGAAGGCGAGUGCCCUACGGGCGUUAAACUUCUUUUGUGCGGGAGCAAUAAGGGCCACGUGUGGCCCGAUGAGAGUACCGCACGAAUAAGCAUCGGCUAACUCCGUGCCAGCAGCCGCGGUAAUACGGAAGGUCCGGGCGUUAUCCGGAUUUAUUGGGUUUAAAGGGAGCGUAGGCCGGCUUUUAAGUCAGCUGUGAAAGUCCGCGGCUCAACCGUGGAAUUGCAGUUGAAACUGGAGGCCUUGAGUGCACACAGGGAUGCCGGAAUUCAUGGUGUAGCGGUGAAAUGCUUAGAUAUCAUGAAGAACUCCGAUCGCGAAGGCAAGUGUCCGGGGUGCAACUGACGCUGAGGCUCGAAAGUGCGGGUAUCAAGCAGGAUUAGAUACCCUCGUA